GCUUCAGGUAGUAACGGCGCCAACAUAAAUUUAGUCAUGGAUAACUUCAAAUAUUUACGAUGGUCCCCUGAGACACCACCUGAAAUGAAGUCUCAGGAUCCUGUGUUUCCUGCACAGUCCACAAAGCACGAUGUUGAGUCACCUGCUCUCAGAGUCCAUGACAGCUCUGUCCUCUUCAAUAAUGGUGCAUGGUGACCCUCAAUAUGAGAUACAAGGGAAGAAAGCCUGACAGCUGGAAUUUGAGAUAAGUGGCACGUGGCAGAAUUUCUACUUUGUAACUUUUGUACCUACUGAAUUUUG
rnacentral:lncRNA from 10 species